rnacentral:lncRNA from 1 species
CCGGACCACCCAGCAGUCUGGAAGGCGCGGCCUGGAGCUUAGCAAGGGCGAGCGACCGAUGCAGUUGCACUCAGGGUCUCUCUCUUGGGCUUGGUUCGAACCUCUGCUGUCUCAUUCCUGAAGUUUGUAACCCCAUCUCCCUAGGUAGCCCCAGGAUGAUCUAAACUUCGCAGUUCUUCUUGGCGCCUCCCCCAUGCGCCAUCACACCAGGUGAAAUUCCUAAUUUUAUAACAUGACACUACAUGCUUA